rnacentral:lncRNA from 1 species
CUAAAAGAAAGGCAAGUCGAUGCCCGGAUUGACAACUUGAUGUCGCAAGAUCGGUUGUUAAAAUACUAAAGCCCACCUUCAAGCUAAAAUUCUAGUCGUAUUUAUUACUUAUUAUUUCUUCUUCCACCAUACCCAAGAGUCAUUCACUCCCUAAAGAGAUUUGAGAAGAGUCACUAAGAUAAGAGUUGUUAUAGGAUUUAACGAAGAUUUUUUAUAGGAUUUAACAAAAAUAGGUUUAUAGUAAGUGUGCCGCUAAUUGGCAUAUCUCUUUGUUGCAGAGACCUUCCUUACCCUGCUUAGGGCUAUGUGAUAGCACCCAAAGGAACCUAUUCUAUUUGAACAAGACCACAUAAACUAUAGUCAUACGGUCAUCCGAACCAAAGCUAAAUCUAAAUCCUCUACCCUUCGCUCCUUCCCCGACUCCACUCCAGAGCAAUGCCACGACCCGGUCAAGAGCCUUCCAUGCAGAUUCCUUCAAAGAGAAAGAGAGUGUGUAUUCCCAGCAUCAAUGCAAAAACUUCUCAGUCCGGGAACAAGAGCAAUUCUUGGUCCCACCAAACCAUGCCAUGAACAGUACAACAAGAGCAGGGGAUAUUGAAACUAAGACUCAUUCCGUCUAUUUCUCUACCUUUCUUCUACAGAUUAAAUUGCAUCAUUUAUUCCUAUUUCGGCAAAACUAGUUGUUGACUCAACCUCCCCUCGGGUCUACGCCCUCGAUGUUUUAACAUAGGCGAUUGAAAGAGAGUAGGAGCGCAUUCUCUCCAUCUCAGUUCGAAAGUCUAUCGCUCUCAGUAGCAGUUCCUUGGUCAUACCC